UGGCAGGAUGUGCAUUGUAGGCCUACGCCGCAAGCGGCUGGCCAACAAUGCAUAGGGCUUACUCGCCCUUGGGGCUCGACACAGAUCCUGCUCUGCGAGGCA
rfam:Kushneria sp. YCWA18 contig5, whole genome shotgun sequence.